rnacentral:rRNA from 1 species
GAUGAACGCUAGCUACAGGCUUAACACAUGCAAGUCGAGGGGAAACGGCAUUAAGUGCUUGCACUUUUUGGACGUCGACCGGCGCACGGGUGAGUAACGCGUAUCCAACCUUCCCAUGACUAAGGGAUAACCUGCCGAAAGGCAGACUAAUACCUUAUGGUCUUCACUGACGGCAUCAGAUGUGAAGUAAAGAUUUAUCGGUUAUGGAUGGGGAUGCGUCUGAUUAGUUAGUUGGCGGGGUAACGGCCCACCAAGGCAACGAUCAGUAGGGGUUCUGAGAGGAAGGUCCCCCACAUUGGAACUGAGACACGGUCCAAACUCCUACGGGAGGCAGCAGUGAGGAAUAUUGGUCAAUGGGCGAGAGCCUGAACCAGCCAAGUAGCGUGCAGGACGACGGCCCUAUGGGUUGUAAACUGCUUUUGUAUGGGGAUAAAGUCAAUCACGUGUGAUUGUUUGCAGGUACCAUACGAAUAAGGACCGGCUAAUUCCGUGCCUGCAGCCGCGGUAAUACGGAAGGUCCGGGCGUUAUCCGGAUUUAUUGGGUUUAAAGGGAGCGUAGGCUGGAGAUUAAGUGUGUUGUGAAAUGUAGACGCUCAACGUCUGACUUGCAGCGCAUACUGGUUUCCUUGAGUACGCACAACGUUGGCGGAAUUCGUCGUGUAGCGGUGAAAUGCUUAGAUAUGACGAAGAACUCCGAUUGCGAAGGCAGCUGACGGGAGCGCAACUGACGCUGAAGCUCGAAGGUGCGGGUAUCGAACAGG